UACUUGUACCGACUGGAUGAGCAGCGAACGGGUGAGUAACGCGUGGGGAAUCUGCCUUUGAGCGGGGGACAACAUUUGGAAACGAAUGCUAAUACCGCAUAAAAACUUUAAACACAAGUUUUAAGUUUGAAAGAUGCAAUUGCAUCACUCAAAGAUGAUCCCGCGUUGUAUUAGCUAGUUGGUGAGGUAAAGGCUCACCAAGGCGAUGAUACAUAGCCGACCUGAGAGGGUGAUCGGCCACAUUGGGACUGAGCCACGGCCCAACUUUCUACGGGAGGCAGCAGUAGGGAAUCUUCGGCAAUGGACGAAAGUCUGACCGAGCAACGCCGCGUGAGUGAAGAAGGUUUUCGGAUCGUAAAACUCUGUUGGUAGAGAAGAACGUUGGUGAGAGUGGAAAGCUCAUCAAGUGACGGUAACUACCCAGAAAGGGACGGCUAACUACGUGCCAGCAGCCGCGGUAAUACGUAGGUCCCGAGCGUUGUCCGGAUUUAUUGGGCGUAAAGCGAGCGCAGGUGGUUUAUUAAGUCUGGUGUAAAAGGCAGUGGCUCAACCAUUGUAUGCAUUGGAAACUGGUAGACUUGAGUGCAGGAGAGGAGAGUGGAAUUCCAUGUGUAGCGGUGAAAUGCGUAGAUAUAUGGAGGAACACCGGUGGCGAAAGCGGCUCUCUGGCCUGUAACUGACACUGAGGCUCGAAAGCGUGGGGAGCAAACAGGAUUAGAUACCCUGGUAGUCCACGCCGUAAACGAU
rnacentral:rRNA from 1 species